rnacentral:rRNA from 1 species
AUUAGUAAUAGUUAAUUUGUUUUAAGUUAAUAAAAUUAAUUUAAAUUUUUUAAGUGAAAUUUUAAAUUUAAUUAAUUUUAUAUGAAAAAGUUAAUGAAGCUAGAAAAUUUUAAUAAUAAACUAGGGAUUAGAUACCCUAUUAUUUAAAAAGUAAAAUUCAAUACUUGAGUAGUAAUAGAUAUGAUCUUCAAACUUAAAGAAUUUGGCGGUGUUUUAGUCUAUUUAGAGGAACCUGUCCUGUAAUCGAUAAUCCACGUUGGACCUUACUAAAAUUUGUUGUCAAUUUGUAUAUCGCCGUUAUCAGAAUAUCUUAAAAGAGGAAUAAUUUUCUUAAUUUAUUAUUAUAAUUGAUGUCAGGUCAAGGUGCAGUUUAUAUUUUAGUAGAGAUGGGUUACAAUAAAUUUAUUUAAACGUUAAAUUAUUUGAAAUAAUGAUUUUAAGGUGGAUUUAAAAGUAAAAUAAUGGAUAUAAUUUAUUUGAUUAUAGCUCUAAAACAUGCACACAUCG